ACUCAAAUGAAUUGACGGGGGCCCGCACAAGUGGUGGAGCAUGUGGUUUAAUUCGAUGAUACGCGAGGAACCUUACCUGGGCUAGAAUGUGCGUGAAGGGCUCAGAAAUGGGUCCGUCCUUCGGGACACAAAACAAGGUGCUGCAUGGCCGUCGUCAGCUCGUGCCGUGAGGUGUUGGGUUAAGUCCCGCAACGAGCGCAACCCCUAUGGUUAGUUGCCAGCACGUAAUGGUGGGGACUCUAGCCAGACUGCCUCCGCAAGGAGUGAGGAAGGCGGGGACGACGUCAGGUCAUCAUGGCCCUUACGCCCAGGGCUACACACGUGCUACAAUGGACGGUACAGCGGGUUGCGACACGGUGACGUGAAGCCAAUCUCGAAAAGCCGUUCUCAGUUCGGAUCGAAGUCUGCAACUCGACUUCGUGAAGCUGGAAUCACUAGUAAUCGCGUAUCAGCAAUGACGCGGUGAAUACGUUCCCGGGCCUUGCACACACCGCCCGU
rnacentral:rRNA from 1 species